GCCGCGGUGGCCGCACUGACUUCUGGGUAGCGGCUCCUCAGCUGUGGAUAAUAAGGGCCUGUGAGGAGAGGAGCGGCGGCUGAGCCCGGAGGUGAUAAUGGCGGGAGAAAAUAUAUAUAGGUGAUGCAGCUGGCGUUGGCACUGUCCGACAGCAACUCGAGAAGAAACUGCCAUAGCUGGAUCUGACCACUCCCUGCAAGAAACAAGAGGAUGAAGAUCUUCUGUCAAAGUGAAGUACCAAUGAAUUCUGGGUGUCAGACUCUAUACAGAGAAGAUGUAGCUGGAAGAAGUCACGAUGGUUUGGACCAGAUGUGGAAGAAAAAGACAACAGAGAAGACAUCACUCAGCUCUUUGGACUAAGAAGGUGAAAAUCCAGUGAGCAACAGGGGAAGGGUCCUUUUUCUUACUGUACAUAUGGCACCAUUAAUCACUGCUCAGGCUAUGCCAGCCCUACCAUCUACAAAAAACUGUUCAUAUACUGAAGUUUUCACAUCCAGGCUAUAGGGGCCUCCAUCUAUAGUGGAAAUUAUGAAAACUAUCUGUACCUUAUUCCAUGGCAGACACAACUUGGUAAUCUUUCUCCCUAUUGUUCACAAUGAUGCAGUUGGACUAAUAUGGGAUGGGACAUAGGAAAAGAAGGUCAAAUGUUCCCUUUUGUUCUGUCAGAGGAAGUAGAUCAGGAAACGCUGGAUGUGUCUCGCGGAAGUUUCGUUGCUGCAGAUAAGAAAACCCAGCUGAGGCAGCUUGGGAUGUAGUUAAAAGACUAUCAAAUGCUACAAGAGCAAACAGUAUUAACCAAGUGCAAUUUCUAAAUGGCAUUAACUCUAUAGCUGCCUAUUCAUGAGCUAUAUUACAAAUUGUAUAAUUGUGCCUGUAACAUGUAUAGAUGAGCUAAAAAAAAUAUCCUAAAUAAUCUUGGAAAAACAACCUUUCUAAUAUACUCCAUAAAAAGUGUUUUAUCUCCUUUUUAAAGAAAUCA